CAUAAUUUUGCUUGGGCUGCCGCGCGAGAGGAGGAAGUGUUGUUGUGAGUGAGAAAUGGAGACCAUAACGAAGAUGGAAAAGGAAAACUCAGUUGAGUCGCUUAAAACAGUACCGUUUAAGAGGAGACCUCGGUUGGAAAAGCUGCGAGUGAAAGCACUCGAACCGGACUAGCCGGACAUUGUUUUAAGACAACAGUCGCAAGACGGGAAAAGACUUUACACUCGCUAUUUUUCACGCUGCUGGUAUGCUAAGAAGUCUUGGCUAACCGGAUGUCCUGAAGCUGGUGCUUUAUUUUGCUUCCCCUGCCUCAAACGCCGAGAACUGAAAAACCAUGGAUGGACUCUGGUGUCACUGGUAUGAAGCAUUUUGCCGAAAAAGCGAAACGGUAUUAACAAGCUAUGUGCCACAUUGAAAACGCAGUAGGACUUGAUGUUUGGGAGAGCAAGAGGAAAGUGAAUAUUCAGAAAACCCAGACAUUUCUGCAAGACUUGUGCGUUUUGCAGACGCAGCCGUACAAGAACAUCUACAGGCGGCAACUGAGUUUGAAGGGGACAUCGAAGUCAGUACUAAAUGAACUGCUCGACUGUAUGCUCUUAGUUUUGAGAGAGCACAUCAUUGAAGAACUCAGGAAUGCUGACUUUAUCUCCAUCCAGGUUGAUGAAACGAUGGGCACUGCCACUCAGGGUCUAUUGGUGUUUAUGGUCUGCUUUAUUGACAAAACCCAUGAUGUACAGGAGACGUUUUUUGAGUUCAUACCUCUCCAGAGUGCCACAUGUGAUUCAAUCACCACAGCACUCCUGGACAAAUUAUGCACAAUCCUCCCUGAUGACCAGAAAAGCAAGCUCAUUUCACAGACAUAUACGAUGGUGGAGUUGUCAUGAGAGGAGCCACAGGUGGUGUGCAGAAGACAGUGAAGGAUGUGUAUGAGUAUGCACACUACGUCCACUGUUAUGCUGCUCAUCAAGUUGAUGUCUUAAUCUCAUCUCACUGAAAUCAGACAGUUCUUCUUUUAUAUAGCUGGAUUCUCUAGCUUUUUGGAGGACAAUAAUUUCAACUUCUUCCUGGAACUGAUCCAUCGCAUAAUUCCCCACGUGGACUAACUUUACAGUCAGCUCCAGAAGCAGUCCAUCGCCUCAGCCUUUGUCAACAAAGUCAUGCAGCAGUUCACGGAUGACUUGCAAAACGUCAGAGAUUCCCUUUCUUCUCUCUGUGAAGAAUAUGAUGGCAGCGCACAACAGCUGAAGGCCAAGAAAUGUCGCACACUUGGAAGGUGAACUUUAGAGAGUAGCUACAGAGGUUUGUGACAGUAUCUUGGGCCAUACAAAGGAAAGGUUUGCCUUCCCUGAGCAUCUGAUCUGUGCUACACUGCUGCACGGAAACAAAUUCAAGGACCAACCAAGACCAACCAGUUCCCUGAAGCAGCGUUGGACACCACCAUUGCGACGUACCCACUGCUGAACAAGCGCAAGCUGAAAACUGAACUCUCAGUGAUGUACGACUAUAACGAGUUCAGGGACUGCUCCGAUUUUUUGGCUCUGUUACAGUUCUUCACAGCAAACAAUCUCCAAGAUACCUUUUCAGAAACUGUAACUCUCCUAAAGAUCCUCAUCACAACUCCUAUGACGACGCCUGAGUCGCAGAGAAGCUCCUCAGAGCGAGCAAGAAUCAAGAACUUCCUCAGCAGCACAAAGGCGCAGGAUCGUCUCAAUGCACUGGUCAUGCUCUCUAUGGAAAAGAACCUCGUCAAAGAAAUUCCCGAUUUUAACCAUCGAGUUGUUGAGAGAUUUGCAAGUCUGGAGGUGAGAAAGGAGAAAUUUACAUACAAAACUUAAUCUGUGUUCUGUGGUCAAACAAUGACUCUUUUUGCUGUUUUUUUAUUUCAUUGAUUUUCCAAAUGGCACACUAGGAAGUGUUAUGUUUCAGUUUUCAGAUUUUGACAAAUCUAUUUCUAUACAUUUACAAACUAAAAUGUUAUACAUUUGCUUAUUAAAUGGGAGUAUUUUUCUACUUUCAUUGUCAUACUGCUUAUUAUCUUAUUAGCUGGGCUUGAGCAGAUUCUUAGGUAUGGUCGUUUUUAAUGUGGAAGUUAUUCUUUUUUGUUGAAAAGCAUUAUCAGGCAAGUAUUGCUCCAAGCAAAGGAUUUAAGUAAAGCCAUGUUUCCAUCAGGGUACAGUACAGUUCAGUUUGGUACAGUAUGGUACGGACAUCUGUUGAAAAACACGCUGCACAGGGGGGGUUGCAUUUUUCUGUUGCCCAAUCAGCUGGCUGUCGUGGGUAGAGCACGUCUAGCGGCCUGUACCGUACCAUUUUACUAUGGUACUGAAAAAUGGAAUGGUAUGGGGCUGGUUAUUUUUGAUUUACUAUUCCUAAUGCAAACAAACACCAAACUGUUGCACUUGAUAGAAACACAGCUCAAGUACACUGGUGGGAGGUGAAUGGUUAAAAACUAACUUUAGCCCACCACUUGAUUUGAUGCAUUUCACAUGGUGGUCUGGUGGAUAGCACUGUUGCCUCACAGCAAGAAGACUCUGGUUCAUGACCCAGUCCAACCAGCUGCCUUUCUGUGUGGAGUUUACAUGUUCUCGCCAUGGGUGCGUGGGUUUCUCCAGUUUCCUCCUGCGGUUUAGAAACAUGUGGAGGUUAAUGAGACACUCUAAAUUGACUGUAGGCGUGAAUGGUUAUAGUUAGGGGAUGGUUAUUUGUGACCUUCACGUGGAGGAGUCGAGGGUUGAAUGUGAAAAAUUAAGGUUCAGGGUUUCUGACACGAAGCGAUGUAUAAAAAAAGACUGUUGAUUCGGACACCUAUAACUGGGGGACCUAAGUAACAUAGGGGACCUAUGUAAUAUUCAAAUCGCUCUACAUUUAUUUAAUUUUUGUGAAUAAAAAAACAUUG